rnacentral:rRNA from 1 species
GCGCGAAAACUUUACAAUGCGGGAAACCGUGAUAAGGGAAUCUCGAGUGCCAGCAUAUAAUGUUGGCUGUCCAGAUGCCUAAAAAGCAUCUGUUAGCAAGGGCCGGGCAAGACCGGUGCCAGCCGCCGCGGUAACACCGGCGGCCCGAGUGGUAACCGUUUUUAUUGGGUCUAAAGGGUCUGUAGCCGGCCAUGUAAGUCCCUUGGGAAAUCUGGCAGCUCAACUGUCAGGCUGCUAGGGGAUACUGCUUGGCUUGGGACCGGGAGAGGUGAGAGGUACCUUGAGGGUAGGGGUGAAAUCUUGUGAUCCUCGGGGGACCACCAGUGGCGAAGGCGUCUCACCAGAACGGGUCCGACGGUAAGGGACGAAAGCUAGGGGCACGAACCGGAUUAGAUACCCGGGUAGUCCUAGCCGUAAACGAUGCUCGCUAGGUGUCAGUCACGGUGCGACCGUGAUUGGUGCCGUAGGGAAGCCGUGAAGCGAGCCACCUGGGAAGUACGGCCGCAAGGCUGAAACUUAAAGGAAUCGGCGGGGGAGCACUACAACGGGUGGAGCCUGCGGUUUAAUUGGAUUCAACGCCGGAAAUCUCACCGGGGGCGACAGCAAUAUGAAGGUCAGGCUGAAGACCUUACCGGAUUAGCU